UGGGGAAACUUGGACAAUGGGGGCAACCCUGAUCCAGCCAUGCCGCGUGAGUGAUGACGGCCUUCGGGUUGUAAAGCUCUUUUAUUCGGGACGAUAAUGACGGUACCGGAAGAAUAAGCCCCGGCUAACUUCGUGCCAGCAGCCGCGGUAAUACGAAGGGGGCGAGCGUUGUUCGGAAUUACUGGGCGUAAAGCGUGCGUAGGCUGCUAUGCAAGUCAGGAGUGAAAUCCCCGGGCUCAACUCGGGAAUU
rnacentral:rRNA from 1 species